GGGUUGUGAGGUUAAGCGACUAAGCGUACACGGUGGAUGCCCUGGCAGUCAGAGGCGAUGAAGGACGUGCUAAUCUGCGAAAAGCGUCGGUAAGGUGAUAUGAACCGUUAUAACCGGCGAUGUCCGAAUGGGGAAACCCAGUGCAAUUCGUUGCACUAUCGUUAACUGAAUACAUAGGUUAACGAGGCGAACCGGGGGAACUGAAACAUCUAAGUACCCCGAGGAAAAGAAAUCAACCGAGAUUCCCCCAGUAGCGGCGAGCGAACGGGGAGCAGCCCAGAGUCUGAAUCAGCUUGUGUGUUAGUGGAACGGUCUGGAAAGUCCGACGGUACAGGGUGAUAGUCCCGUACACCAAAAUGCACAGGUUGUGAACUCGAAGAGUAGGGCGGGACACGUGGUAUCCUGUCUGAAUAUGGGGGGACCAUCCUCCAAGGCUAAAUACUCCUGACUGACCGAUAGUGAACCAGUACCGUGAGGGAAAGGCGAAAAGAACCCCGGCGAGGGGAGUGAAAAAGAACCUGAAACCGUGUACGUACAAGCAGUGGGAGCACCUUUAUGGUGUGACUGCGUACCUUUUGUAUAAUGGGUCAGCGACUUAUAUUCUGUAGCAAGGUUAACCGUAUAGGGGAGCCGCAGGGAAACCGAGUCUUAACUGGGCGUUAAGUUGCAGGGUAUAGACCCGAA
rnacentral:rRNA from 1 species